rnacentral:lncRNA from 1 species
UAUUUUAUUUAUUUAAAAAAAUGCUUAAAAACACAGUUACUUUUAAUAUAAAUACGAAUUCUAAAAGUUUAGCACAAUCCAACAAUACUUUAUUACAGAAAAGUAAGAGUCCUAUAGAGAUUUAUUAGUUUAUUUAAAAACUUAAUUAUUACAUAAAGCCAAGAUACUUAUUUUUUUAUUAACACAAAGUUGAGCCCAUCAUAAAAUCCCAAGGUCGGUUAUGCCCAUAUGCACUUCGUCUUAGUUAGGACUUGGCGCCAGCUUGCCCUACUCAUUGUUACCUGCAAUGUAAGGACUUAGUGAGCUAAUGCCCAAUAAGAUAAAACUUUGAUGCAUGUAUAAAUUAUGAUGCAUAUGAAUGACCAUUCUUAAAAUAAACUUAAAAAAUACAAAACAACUUUAUUUGGGUCCUAGGUAUGUUGCACUACAAAGCUGACACUUUUACUCUUUAAACAAUAUGCCCUUGGGCCUCAUUAGUUGAUUUUUUGGGUGUUACGUAUCGCUGUCCCCAAAAGAUUUCUCUCAACUUAACUUUGAGGGCUUGCCCUCCUUAGAACUUUGCCACCUAAUAGUACAACCACCUAUUUUUCAUAAAUUCAUGUUCUGAAACGUCUUCUUCAUAAUGUUGUACAUGAUAUGCAUGCAUCCAAUGUAACUUAUAACAUUUGAAAUUCCUCGAUGCAUAACAAAAUCAACUCACAACAUUAUUUAAAAACAAGAGUCUUUAGUAUAAGCGGCAUAGCCGACCAUAGCAUCACAUAUUAGGUGACAGAACCGAACAUAACAUCACAUAUUAGGCGGCAGGGCCGACCAUAUAAAGAUUUAGAAUAUAACUAAUCACACUAUAACAACCAUCAUAAUAUAAAGGGAUUGUUAAAACUGAUCUUAAGUAUAAAAGUAAUUUUGUCCUUACAUUGCAGUUGAAGUGUUACUUACCUCUUGAUCUUGACUUCUCUAGACCUUUCUAAGGUAAGGAUUCCUCUACUCUUGUUAUUAUAACUUAGAAUAUAAGGAAAUGAA